rnacentral:rRNA from 1 species
GCCUGCAUGAAGUCGGAAUUGCUAGUAAUCGCAGAUCAGCAUGCUGCGGUGAAUACGUUCCCGGGCCUUGUACACACCGCCCGUCACACCAUGGGAGUCGGUAACACCCGAAGUCGGUAGUCUAACCGAAAGGAGGACGCCGCCGAAGGUGGGAUUGAUGACUGGGGUGAAGUCGUAACAAGGUACC